rnacentral:lncRNA from 1 species
GUGGGUAAUAAAUCUUUGUCUUUGUCUAAGACAUGUGUAAGCCGAGGGUAAUAAAUCUUUGUAAGCCGUGGGUAAGGAAUCUGUUUUCAGUUAUAGUCUUUUGUCUUAAGACUGAGCCGCAUGCUCUUAUUUGCCAUCCCCUAACGCCCUUCUCUAUACAUGCACCACCAACCCAUAUUCUCGAUCCUUUAGGGGAUGGCAUAAGUUUCUUUUAGAAGCAGCAAGGGACAUUGUAUUCAGUUAUAGUCCUUGUGAUAACCCGUCCUUCGGGAUAAAAUGGUCGAGCAAGGGAAAGUCAGAAUCUGGAGCCAAGCUUUUGGGAGAUUACAUAUUUGGAGUAAUGUUGAGUUUUGAUCACACAAAACUUAACAAGGUUCGGAGAAGACAGAAGAUUGGUCGAGCAUCAACUUGAUGAUCGAACCGCGGGCGGUACGGGCCAACCGAGAAGUUCGAAGUAGGAUGUGGUCGAAGAAUGGAUCGUGAGUGAACCAUGAGACAUAUUAAGCUGCUCUACCUUUCUUAGAAGAGUCUUAGAUUGAUCAGACGAAGAUUUUGGAAGAAUCACAUUUUUGGAAGCACGACGGUUUAGAAGCUCGACGUUUCAGAAACCCGACGUUUCUUAGCCACUAAGUUUUCCGCGAAACUUCACAUCUAUGAUCAGAAUAUUAUUUCAGAGAUAUUAUAAUUUGGAAGCAUGACGGGAGUAAGCAGGACGGGAAGCAAGCACGACGGGAAAACCCGAAGUUGGUCGAAAACCCUAAUUUCGGUUUUUCGAAAUUAUUGGAAGAAGCCGGAGGCUCGGGAAAUAUUUUUAGAGGAUCUCAGUAUUCAUCUGGAGUUUAUUAAAAAUAUUUAGAGAAUCAGAACGGGAGCGGAAAAAUAUUCGGGAUUGAUCGCGGGACGAAAAUUUACCAGAAAGACCGAAAUCGCACAAAUCAACCGGGAAGCUCGAGGUGGCCCUAUCUGAGAGAUCAGGACGUGCUGUCCUUCAUCCAAGCAUCUUAGUGUCUCCGUAGCACGAUAUGUCUCCGCAGGAUGAAGCCUCACAUGCAGCAUGACACCCAAAGCACGACAUGACCUCGUCUUGACACCCAGAGGCCCGUGUGUCGCGAUGCAUGAGCUCCAGCCAUGCUGAAUGACAUCUGGACGUGGUGCUGGCUUCUGGCAUGCAGAGGAGUCAUGCAUGGUGACAUUUGGACGCCCGUGUGUCGCCGCGCAUGCGACCGGAAGCAUGCGGGACGACACACAGGCGAUGGAGUGGCACCAUUUCAAUGGUUGGCCAUAUCUAUAUAAACCCAGCUCCCCCAGCUCGUUUCAUUCAUUCCACACACUCAAACAUCACUCUAAAACUUGGGCUAGAGAGAGAAAGUGAAGUAGAAAAAGGAAGUGAAGGAUUUGGAGCUGUUUUGAAGAAGUUAGAGCAUUUUUAAGAGCCAUUGUUCUACCGAAAGUCCGAGAAGAAGAUCCAGAAGUCCGAGGAGGUUCUGUCCAAGUCCUGAUUCGUCCAUACCAGUCCAUUGAAGACAGAGGCAUUGGUUUUUGGCUAGGCUUUCUCCGAUCAACCAGCUGCAAGAACACUGUGAGUUGGUUUGUUUGAGUUCCACUUGGAACUUAGGAUAGAUCGAGUUGCAUAUAGAGUAAUAAUAUCACACUGAUGCAUGAUAGAGUCCUAGGGUUAUUUUUAUUUAUGAAUUGGACUCAGUUUAGCAUGGGCUAAGCUGAGAUAUAAUGGAAUUAAGACUGAGUUAUAACCUGACUAGGACUAGGAUGAAUGAUGCAUCAACCGGUAUAGUGUGAUAAAUUAUGGCGUAGCUGAAUUGUUAGGAUUGAGAUGCAUGUUUUCCUUUAUUUAUUUAUGGGUAGUUUAGUAAUGGAGUAGACCUGCCUUAGAGAUAUUAGGACUAUUGAAUGCUUGGUUUGGUAGUGAUUGUUGUUGUGCAGGGAUGGUAUUGUUCAGGCGAUCUUAGGCCAUAUAGGCCGAUUUCCUUCCAUGUCGAGUUUAGUACUACCAAUCCUAUGCCAUAUAGGCUGGACUACGAGUACUGGUGUUAGUGUCGUAGACUCCUUAGUGUAUUUAAGUUUGUGGUAGGAGUCUUGGUCUUAUUAGGAUUAGUGUGUUGUAGCCGACAGUAUGAGCGUAACCCGUCCAUACUAGGCUUGUUUAGGGGUGAUUAGUGUUUCCUCAGCCUCGUACCCAGCGGGUUUAAGGAAACCCCUUAUUCGUUGGAUCGGGAAGACUCAGAGAGACGGGAUCAUGGCCUAUGGCUGAGUUAUUACACGACGGUGUAAUGUGGCAGUGACCCGAAGGACUGUGGGCUGUCGCGCGGUGACCCGAAGGACUGUGGGCCGCGGUCGGUUGAAAGUUCCUUCUUCUGGCCUUUGUGGUAGGGAGAUAGGAUAUUGCCGAUGUUGAGGAGGAACACGAGAUCACCAGGGCCCAUGUUAGAGUAUUGAGUUUAGAGUUAGAAUAGUGUGUCGAGUUAGUUUUAUUGUGUCGUCUUGAGGGUGAGGAACCCUCGAGAUAGUGUUAGCACCGAGAUACGGUGUUGAUCGAGUCUUGAUUGUUAGAUUAGGGAUCCGUUGAGUAGAUGGUCGUUUGGCCAUGUCUAUUAUUAGUAUUAUUAGAUUAAGGUCGAGCAUACCUUAAUCGGUGCGGUUUUGGGGAUUAGCCUUAAAGCUUUAUUUUCUGCGCUUAGGCUAGAUUGAUUGUUAUUUUUGGGUUGUCUGAGCUAGCUACUAGGUUUAGGUAUUUAGGUAUCCAGCUCACUGAGUGACCUUCUGUUACUCACCCAACUCUCGUUGUCCUUUUUGCAGGAGUUUAGUUUGUAGGAGAUUAGACGCGUAGGCCACCGGAAUAGAUUUGCAGUGCAUUUGGCUACGGUUUGAUUUUUAUACGAUUUAUGUUUCCGUUGCGUUUUAUCGGAUUUGGGAUCCCUAAAGUAUUGCAAAUAUUCUUAAAAGUCUUGGAUUUAAAUCUUAAAAAAAUUAACGGGUCCAAUAUGAUAUUGGUUUAGUCCGAACCAACACAACGUUAGGUCUUGGUACGGGUUGAAAAGCCUUAAGCCUCGAUCUAACGGAACCGUUAACUCAUGGUACAGGUUGCAAAGCCUUAAGCCUUGAUUUAACGGGACGUGUUAGUGGAUGAACUAGUCUAGGUUGCGGAAUAAAUCUGUGACUCGGACCGGAUCGUCCCUAGCUCGUCACGUAGCGCUUCCGGACCAUGGUGUUGGGUUGGACGGUCAGUCAUGUUCUUGUUUGAUUGUUGGCUGGCCGGUUGGCCUUUCAUCUCCAAUCCUUGGUGUUGGUUGGUCCGUCGGUCAUGUUCUUGUUUGAUUGUUGGCCGGUGGGUCGACCUAUGCCUAGGACGGUUCGGGGGUGUUACAGAGGUGGUAUCAGAGCAUGGUUACGAUUAUGCUCACUGGUUCCCGUGGUUUUUCAAAUGUUUUCAAUGUUUUUCGAGUCAAAAGGAGUCGCCAAUGCACUCUUUAGGAAUCCGGUCGUGUCCAAUCGUUUAGGAGGGGUAGGAGAGAUUUUAUUUUAUUAUUAGCUUGUUGUCUAACCCAUAUAUAUUGCGACAUGAUUCCGCAGGUUGCUGUACUGGUGUGGUAGGGUGGAGAUUUGGAGUUACGGAGGAUUUCGACGUUUCGCCUAGUCCUAUACUUGCCGAUCUUUUUCAGCCGCAUGAGUUUGAUCAGAUCGUACCAGACAUGUUUCCGACACCUAUCAUCAUUUCUGAUGAUGACACCGAGCCUGAUGAUGCGGUUCCGACACCCUUUAUUGUCAUUUCUGACGAUGAGACCAAUGCGGAUGAUCUUGUUCCGCAGAUGCCUACGGUAGCACCACCGAGCCCCAUCACUAUCUUGUCUACGGGUACUACUGGAGAUACGCCGAGUUAUGAUCCUGCUGAGGAUCAGGGCACUUCGCCACCUACUCCAGAUGUGUCGACACCAUCAUAUGGUCCCUUACCUUUGUCUCCGGGAUUACCCGAUCCUACUCUCAGCCCGACGAUUGACAUACAUUAUGAGAUGGGUCUGGAGGGAUUUUACGAUCUGCCGAUGGAGAGUAUUGGUGACAGCCAUGAUGAUCCAUUACUUUACUAUCCAGACAUCAUGAUUCCUGAUGAGCCAGCAAACUAUCAGUCCAUGGAGAGCGUUGGACACCCUGAUGACGACCCAUUCCUUUAUGAUCCAGACGUGAUGAUGAUGGACCAGCCACUUCCUCAGCCGGCGGACUUAUCUUUUUCUCAUACUAUACCUGCGAGUGGAGAGCCUUCCAGCUUUCCACCCAUGGAGCCAUCCACGACCUACUCACCAUUAUCUCAGCCAUUCUAUGACUACGGAGAGCCUUCCAGCUUUCCGACGAUGGAGGUACCCAAGACUGAAUUACCAUUUUACCAGACCACUUAUCAGACCGGAGGGCCAUCUAGCCUUCCAGCGAUGGAUGCAUCUUUUGAUCUUGGAGGAUCUGCUUCUUCUGGUGAUCCUUACGCACCUCAGUCCUAUCGAUGUUUUUGGUGUCAGAGCAGGAUAUGUGGAUCCACACGGAUUCCCAUAUCAUACUUAUCUUGGUAGAUCGGAUCUGUACCCGAGGUGUUUUACUUGUGGAGGCAUAGCACAUUCGACUGGCGUGUGCACGAGCUACGACGAGCCAGCAGCGAUACCCUACCUACACAGUGCGCAACCAGCAGGGGAUUCGUCCGAGUGGGGCUACUGCCCCAACUGCGACAUGUUGCUUUAUAUAUGGCGUUCUUAGACGUGUAGGACCGGGUAAGUAGGGUACAGACUUUUUGUGGUGAUAUAGCGGUGUAUAGACUUUUGUAGUGUUUUGUGACAGCUGAUGUCUUUUGUUGUAUGAUAUAUCAUCAGUAACGAUAAAGGAUGUUUUUCUGUCAAGUAUAUGUAUAUAUUUGAUGGGAGGAUAUGUUUUAUAGUGAAGGUGGUUAUCAUUUGCGUUUUUCUAUUUAGUAAUUACGUAACCAUAUCAUUCAAGUAUGCAUGUUCUUGCAUAUUUGAAUUAUGUGGUUUACAAGAUGAAAAAUAGUGAUCGCUUGGACAUAUGGUUUUACAAAACAUUUACAACUGUUUAAAUAUCACACAAAUCGUUGGUACAGUAGAGUCUUAGUUUUUAGGCCGCAUUUUUUUAGGGCUGGUUAGUGGAACAUAGAAUUGCUAGGUUGUUGGUUAGAAUUGCGGUUAGAUUACCCGGUUAGAAUCGUUAGGUUGCUGGAUAGAUUUGGUAGGUUGCUGGUUAGUUUUGGAUUAGAUUGUUAGGUUAGUUGUUAACUAACUUGCAUGUGAAGUGUUCUUUUGAGUUGCAGCUUGUGUGUUCGUUGAUCGGAACUUUAAGGAAUGGAAACCUUAAAGUGAAAAGAGUUCAAGGCUAAAAACCCAAAAUGAAGAGAGAGAGAUUUAGAGGGACUGGACAGUGGUAUGGACUGGACAAGUAUGAGAAAGACUUCGUUGAGAAAGGACUUCAUCAGUUUUGGGAAAAGAAAGGUUUCAGUGAUCAGAAGCAAAGAUGGUGCGCGUUAUGGCAGAGUAAAUGCAAGAAGACGAUUCAGUAUUCAUCAAGUGAAGAGUUUUGUGGCAACUUUGAGAAGGAGACUCAUGGGAGAGCAGUAGAUACGGUGAAGCAAUAUGAAGAUGAAUUCAGCAUGAGAGUGAAGCGAUAUGGAGAUGAGUUAAGAAUGAGUGAAGCAUGGGAAAUCAAGAAGUGAAGGACGGAUUCAAGACUAAAGGAAUGCUUUGAGAUGUAUCAAGACGGAGUGAGUUCAGAACCAGAAGUUUGGGUGGAGACCAGAGAAACCGAAAGGAGGAAACCAAGGGCAAACCGAUAAAGAAGCACAUCAAGUGAUCAAGACCGCGAGACAAGUGAUCCAAGGAGAAAUUUUCAUCAAGGGGAUGAACAUGUCGUGAAGCUGAGCCAUUGGACAACUAAGAAUGCGAGGACGAAUUCUAUUAAGGGGGGAAGAAUGUGAUAAUCCGCCCUUCGGGAUAAAAUGGUUGAGCAAGGGAAAGUCAGAAUCUGGAGCCAAGCUUUUGGGAGAUUACAUAUUUGGAGUAAUGUUGAGUUUUGAUCACACAAAACUUAACAAGGUUCGGAGAAGACAGAAGAUUGGUCGAGCAUCAACUUGAUGAUCGAACCGCGGGCGGUACGAACCGAGAAGUUCGAAGUAGGAUGUGGUCGAAGAAUGGAUCGUGAGUGAACCAUGAGACAUAUUACGCUGCUCUACCUUUCUUAGAAGAGUCUUAGAUUGAUCAGACGAAGAUUUUGGAAGAAUCACAUUUUUGGAAGCACG